rnacentral:sRNA from 1 species
CAGUCCCAUUCUCCAUGUAGCUAGAGGAUUCCGAGGAGUCAUAGAGGUUGUGAAUCUCUAGCAGAGGAACACAGGCUCCAAUCAGCACACUCCUCGGCUGCACGUAGGAGUUCUACAGAGCGCUCUGGUGCUCUCUGCCUCAGUCAGACAUGGUGUGGAAGGAGUGGGGACUGCUCGGCCCAGAGAGAAGGAAAUAGCAGAUGAACCAGCACUCACAUCCAAGUAGUUGGAUUUCCCGGACCGAGGGCAUUUUCUUGAGCAAGAUUCUGCUCCAGGAUAGAGGAAGAAAAACAGAAGAGUCCUGUAGUACUCCAAUGUCAGCAG